rfam:Struthio camelus australis contig10782, whole genome shotgun sequence.
GCAUUGGUGGUUCAGUGGAAGGAUUCUCACCUGCCAUGUGGGAGGCCCCGGUUUGAUUCCCGGCCAAUGCA